CUGGUGCUUUACCUGGGGGAUUAAGAUGUAUGCCUUGUCAGCAUGGAAGGCACGGCCUGGGCUCCUGGGAGACCCUCAGAACUCUUCAAUUCCAUCCUCCAAACAAGUCCUCAGCUGGGUCCCUCCCCGAUGUAGUCUGGUGGAAAUAUGGCUCCUAACAGCUGCCACAGCAGCACCCACCCACGUGUUUAUACUGCUCCUGCACCUGUGGCAUCCCACCCAAGAGGAAGGGCAAAGGAAGAGCCUGUCACCACAGCAGAACCAGAAGAAAGCUCUAGUCCCGUUCUGCGACUAGCCUGCAGGACAUGGCCAGGUUCUGGCCCUGCGUAGGUUUGUUUCCUCACCUGCCAUCAAUUUCUAGCUUACUGAACAUGGCGUUAAUUAAAUAGCAUUUUAACCUA
rnacentral:lncRNA from 1 species